rnacentral:misc_RNA from 1 species
ACACASACCACACACCACACCACACAGCGGGGUUGGCCCCUACAAACACCAACACCAAACAAACCAACCUAAAGCAAAAGAUAUGUACUCGGCCUAGCCGGUGCAUCCUAACCAAGAC